GAUGGGCUCGCGGUCUAUCAGCUUGUUGGUGGGGUAACGGCCUACCAAGGCGACGACGGAUAGCUGGUCUGAGAGGAUGACCAGCCAGACUGGGACUGGGACACGGCCCAGACUCCUACGGGAGGCAGCAGUUAGGAAUUUUGGGCAAUGGCCGCAAGGCUGACCCAGCAACGCCGCGUGGGGGACGAAGGCCUUCGGGUCGUAAACCCCUUUUCCGGGGGACGAUGAUGACGGUACCCCGGGAAUAAGCCCCGGCUAACUACGUGCCAGCAGCCGCGGUAAUACGUAGUGGGCGAGCGUUGUCCGGAUUCAUUGGGCGUAAAGCGCGCGUAGGCGGCUUCGCAAGUCGGCCGUGAAAUCUCCGGGCUCAACUCGGAGGGGUCGGGCGAGACUGCGGGGCUCGAGGUGGGCAGAGGGCAGUGGAAUUCCGGGUGUAGUGGUGGAAUGCGUAGAGAUCCGGAGGAACACCAGUGGCGAAGGCGGCUGCCUGGGCCUGGCCUGACGCUGAGGCGCGAAAGCGUGGGGAGCGAUCCGGAUUAGAUACCCGGGUAGUCCACGCCGUAAACGAUGGGCACUAGGUGU
rnacentral:rRNA from 1 species